rnacentral:rRNA from 1 species
UCUACGACCGUGCCACCCUGAAUGUGCCAGAUCUUGUCAGAUCUCGGAAGCUAAGCAGGGUCGGGCCUGGUUAGUACUUGGAUGGGAGACCACCUAGGAAUACCAGCUGCUGUUAGGC